GAUUUGAAGGAGGUAAGGGAGUGAGCCAUGUGUGUAACUGAGAAAUGCGCAUUCCAGAUAGAAGCUUUAAUAAAAGGAAAGAGAAUUUAUAAACUUGGACUUCAACUGGUUGAAGCCCCGCUGAGGGGCGAAGGGCAGGGGCAGGAAGCAAGGGAGCAUUGUAGGAGGGACACCUGUGAAGGAAAGGCCCCCCAAAUCAUCCCAGGCCCACCAGCAUCCUGAGUGGGGCCACAGUUACAUUCUACCUGGUCUCCUCUCCUUUCAGAACCUUCUUUCUUUACAAGCCAGCUCUCAACACCUGAUAUGAGGGUCACUCACAACACAGGCCAUUCUUUUAAUAAAAUGACAUUGUUUUCUGUGCUCAGUGCAUCUACCUCCAGCUUUGAACACAAGAGGUGCUUUAACCCAGGACGUGGUCUGAGCCCUGCUUCUGCAUCUAUAGGCACAGGGCCAUGACUGUGAGGAAGUUUCUAUCCAUCUGACUGGCUUCUGCAUCUGAGCCCGGGUUAUAUGGCACAGGAGACAUGUGGCAAGAUGAAGAUUCCUUCCUCCAUUGUAUGCACUUCCACGCCUGCUCAUGCACACCACAUGCAUACAUACACUUUCACACCAAACACACAGGCAUGAAAUACACUCAUGGGCUUGUCCACAUGCACACCUGCCACAAACACCCAUCAUAAGCCUCCAGGUAAACAAUAUGGGCAUGCGCACUUAUACACACACUUGCACACACAUACACAUUUUUGGAGGCUUGAAUGCACACCCACGCCCAACACACACCCCCUCAGGCAGGCACACAUGGGUCCCCUAAACAUGGACUCAGUCUUCCUACAGGAGAAUUUCUAUUCUGAGCAAACACCCAGCAUCUGCAGUCAAUGGCAAACAGAUGAAUGGGACAAAAUUCACUCAUGUGUCCUGGUGGCCCUACCAAUACAGCCCUGAAGGAGCAGGCAGCAGGCUUAUCCCUUCACCAGCAGGCCUUCAGAAGGGCAAGACCAGGGUGGGGAUCAGGUUUGGCCAGGAGAACACUCAGAGCUUCUGGGUACUGACUCAAAGCCAGGGGCCGACAGCCUUGUGCAUUCCUGACAAGUAGGUCACCAUGACAAGGAGCACUGGCUCACAUGCUGGGACCUACGGUGACUGGAAAAGACUUGGGGAAAAUCCAGCUGUUGUGAGACAGCCAGUGUUAGUAGGUGCUGCCUUCCCAUACCAGUGAGUUAGGUUGGGUCUAUGCAGCACCGGAGCUAUGGAGUGUGUGUCAGCGGCAAGGGCUCCUGCUCAGCACAGCAAAGACUAGGAGAAGAAGAGGGCAGUGGCUUACCAGGGACUGUAGCGCUGGGAAGGACGGGUGAGGCAGGGGACACAUUAUGAAUAGUGUUAUUUUUUAGCACACCAGUGUGUUAGGCACUGUGCUGGGUGUUUUUCAUGUAUUAUCUUGCAAGAUACAGCCCUGCAAGUUAGAUUUUAUUGCCUCCAUUUUACAGAUGAGGAGACUGAGGCUCAGAGGGCUUAAAUAAAUUACUCUAGGUCUUCAGCUAAUAGGGGCAGAGCUCAGAUAUGAGUCAAGGCUUGUCUGACUCCAGAUCUCAGACUUUCUCAACAUCUUCAUGUUGAAGCUAAAACUUGCAUUUUAAACUAUCAAAAGCAAGAGGGAUCUAAGGAGACAUGGCAACUAAAGGUACUGUGGUAUCCCGGAUGGGAUCCUGGGACAGAAAAUAAACAUGAACUUUAGUUAAUGACAAUUUUAAUUGUGAUACAUGUACUUUACUAAUGCAAAAGUGUUAAUAAUAGAGGAAACUGGGUGCAGGGUAUACAGGAACUAUUUAUACUAUCUUAAUGAUUCUUCAAAUCUAAAACUGUCCUAAAAUAAAAGACUUAUUUUUUAAACUUUGCAUUUUUGCCAGCAGCAGGAAGCAGUAGAUAACCAACAUUCCAAGGUGCAGCCUGUGUAUAAGGCCUGAAGAGGCCAGGGCCCCUGGAAAGUUUCUCAAAAUAAGAGGCCAUUCUGGACUUUGUACCACUGAGUUCCCAUCACCUACAUAACUUGAAAUAGAGACAUUAAUUGCAGGGCUGUGAUCACAGCCAACACCACCUUCCUAAAUGGGGCAAAAGGGCGCUGAAGUCGGGCAGAGCAGCUGCAAACUGGCAUGAAUUCCCAAGGCUGUGACAGAGAAUUCUUGCUGGGUGUGCCUGUACCUCCCUGACAAUGUGGCCUGGCCAAGCUGACGUCCCUCCAUUUUCUCAACUGUUGCCACUAGAAUGUAGUAGGAACAAUGUAUAAGUCUUAUACUUCUUUUAUUAAAUUUAUUCUUAGAUAUCUUAUUCUUAGUAAUACUACUAUAAAUGUAGUUGCUUUCUUGAUUUCAUUUUCUGAUAUUUUAUUUCUAGUACAUGAAAAUAAAAUUCAUUUUUGUAUAUUGAUCUUAUGUUUUGUCACCUUGCUGAGCUUGCUUAUCAGUCCUAACAGUUUUUUAGUGGAUUCCUUAGGAUUUUCUAUAUACUGCAAGAUUAUGGCAUCUACAAAUAAAGAUAGUUUAAGUUCUUUCUUUCCAAUCUUGAUGCCUUUUAUUUCAUUUUCUUGCCUAAGCUUCAGUACAAUGUUGAAUAGAAUUUGUGGGAACAAAUAUCCUUACCUUGUUCCUGAUCUUAGGGGGAAAGCAUUCAAUUUUUCACCAUUAAAUAUAAUGUUAAGCUGUGAUGUUUUCAAAACAAAAAGAAAAUAGUUGCCCUUUAUCAGACUGAGGAAAUUCCUUUCUAUUCCUGGUUUGUUGAAUGUUUCCAUCCUGA
rnacentral:lncRNA from 10 species